UAUAAAGACAGAAAGAGCCCUGGCUUUUGUAUGAGUUAGGGUGCAUUUUAAAAAAAUGAUUUGGGCUAAGGCCUACCUCUAAGAAACUAAGUCUACGGCCACUGUUUACUUUGACUACCUCGGAAACUGAAGAGUGAAGAGGCAUGAAACCACAGCAACUCCAAAAUACCAAAACGGUGGCUCACUUUUCCACAAGCGAAAGGUAACGCGUAGGCUCCUCUGCAAUUCAUCAUUCGUUUAUCAACUUUAUCAUGCGCGUGAUGAGUGAAUGCGAGUGGAAGCAAGAUAAGAACAAUGUCUUCUUUUUAAGGUUGCUAGAAGAAUGAUCGAUACAGUUGUAUUCUAUACUGGGUUCCUGGUAGCUGCAAAGAAAGACUUGUGCCUAUAGCCUGUAAGUGGAUGGAUGUCUGCUGUGCUGUGGGACUGGGAUACCACUCCGAACCAAACCCUAAGAGACUCUCAGGGUUAUUACAUCUCUAAUAGCUAAUUAGUUGCAUGCUUUGCUGUGAUAUGACUACUCAUGCGCAACAACUUGCGGAUCUCAUUGACAUCGAAAAUGUUUCAUGAAUACAUAGAAGUGCCUUAUCAAGUGGAUGCUGAAUGCAACAUUCAUGCCCUAAAUGGGCUCUUGUCGAGUGCGAAUAGCCACUGGUGUGUUGCCCACUGAUUCUGCCUAGCUAUUACACCCACGCAAACGGUGAUGAGGACCCUGAAUGACCUACUAGGAAUCUUCUGUCACCUAUGGAAGAUUUUCGUAGCUUCUUUGGCUCAUAGAUCCCAAUACCAUCUUCUCAAAAUUUAAUGAGCAUGCAAUUGAAUGCUUUCACCACCUUGGACAUUUUAUUGUAUGGUGGGCUUGGGGUACCCCAGUUAAGGGACCCUUUUCUCACAAUGGUGCAGUUUAAAGGGAAUGUUAAUGGAGACCUGUGACUCCCAUGAACGUGGAUACUUAAAGUGCAAAAGCAAUAAAUGAAGAGAGAGAGAGAGAGUCAAAGAUGGUUUUGAUUGAGGAUAGUAUUUGAGGUUUCACGCCACAAUAUAUCUUAGAUACUAAAACACUUGCUCUACAAGAUAAGCAUGACAUUUUUUUUUGUGAAUUGUCAUUCCUUUGUUCUUGUUUUGAUAGUAGUCCCAGGGUCAAAUUCCACCAGGCUUGUGUAUUGGUGGCUAUUAUUGGAUAUAAGAUUAUGAUAUUUUGUUUUGUCCAGGGAUAUGCUUGUUCCUUGUGCUUUAGGUAUCUGGCAACCAUUGGAAUUGACUGAUCUAAGCAAACACACAAGCCAUUAAGUUA